CUUAAAUUAUCAAUCAGAUGGUGUAAACAUGAUGACCCAGUGCUUAUGCCAGAUCUGCGCCUGCAGAUAAGACUUUUUUCAAGUAGCCUUUUGCCGAAAAAGUGAAGGCUUCAUGUCGGCAUUAAUGUCCAUAUCCCCACCUGCUGUCAUCCCCACCUCCUGCUCUGACUCAGCGUGUGUGCACACAGAUUACAGUGACAAGUUCCACUUUACAGGAACUGUGGCUCCUCAGGCGUCCAAAAAAGUUAACAAUGAGUUCAAGCCGUUGGAUGGUGACAUGUCCAAUACCACCACCUUCAGAGUGGGAGAAAGAGUUCCUGCGAGGUAUUUACGACCGUCAAAAACUGUCCAACUCCCGCAAGAGAGGGGGGCUCUUGAAACCUUUGGUUAGCUGGCACCUUUGAUCUCCAUCCAGGAGGGCAAGUCCUGACAACUCUAAAGCCGUAUUACCAACACUAGUUCCUGAUAAAAACAAUACUUAUUUCAAAGUGGAAGUGUGCUGCCAUCCUGUUAGAAGGUAACAGAUUAUUUGGCCUACAGUAGUCUACAAUAUGUGUUUUCAACUGUAAUCCUGUCAAACAUUUCUGGAUUAAUGAUGUUCCUAGACUAAUAUCCA